UUUUUAGCAGCCAAGUACUUUGUUUCCAAUUCAAAAGCAAUAGUUCAUUUUUUUGCAAUUUCUUGCCAGAAUCUGGAGAGAGACACCUAUAUAAAUGUUGCAUGAAUACAAUGAUCAUCUUCUUCCUAUUGUUUGAGGCCGUAUACCAGAUAUCAGCUCAUGAUGAGCUGUUGGUCACAUCUGGCCAAAGCCCUUCAGGAAACUUUGAGAUUGAAAUCACUGGUGGAGCAGAGUUCACGAAGGGCCAAAGAUGAAGAAUGUAGUUUCUCUAAAAGUGAAAUAAUGGGACAAUAACUGUCAGCCAAAUGUCUCGGAGAGCUCACAGUCCCUUUUGAUGAAAUUCCAUGUUUCUUACUUGAAAGGGCUGCACCCAUGAUUAGGACUUCCUCCUCUUGAUCAGUGACUCAGACCUGAGUCAGUCAGAAAGCAAAACCAGGCCUGACCCAGCCAGUCCCAUCAAGCAGAGAAGUAGACAGCUUCAGGGGAGGCAGGGGUGAGCAGAGCUGCCAAGAGCAAAAAGAAACCAUUCAUAUCACCUUAGAUACCACGGCUCUUCCUACUCCAGGUGCUUCCUGGAGAGGUAUAGAUGCAAAACUAUAGGAGUCUUUAGAAGAAGCAACCAGCCGGACUGUCUUGAAACGCGAUCAGAAAAAGCCAAGAAUAGAGAUGGGGUUGUUCAGGAAAAAUCUGUGAGGACCCUCUUUUCUGAAUGUGUGAAUCAAUGUGACAUACGUAGAAGACCCACAAGAUUUUUGAGAAUGUUCUACCAUCAGAAACACUUCCAACUGGGCCUAAAAGGGACAGAGACAGAAAAAAAUGAAAGAAGAUUGUGAGACUGCCAGAAUUCUACAGGCUUUGAAAUGUGCCCCAUGUGAAGGUGAAUAGAUUCUGAUACUAUGAAGAGUGACCUGGUUAAAGCAUAAGGUUGAAGACAGGAACAUAGUUAUAUGAAAAUGUGCAUCCUGGGUCAGGCGCGGUGGCUCACGCCUGUAAUCCCAGCACUUUGGGUGGCCGAGGUGGGCAGAUCACCUGAGGUCGGGAGUUUGAGACCAGCCUGACCAACAUGGAGAAACCCCAUCUCUACUAAAAAUACAAAAUUAGCCGGGCAUGGUGGCGCAUGCCUGUAAUCCCAGCUACUCGGGAGGCUGAGGCAGGAGAAUCACUUAAAUCUGGGAGGCAGAGGUUGUGGUGAGCAGAGAUCGUGCCAUUGCCAGCCUGGGCAACAAGAGUGAAACUCUGUCUCAAAAAAGAAAAAAGAAAAAGAAAAGAAAAAGGAAGAAAGAGAAAAGAAAGAAAGAGAAAGAAAGAAAGAAAGAGAGGAAAAAGAAAGAAAGAAAAGAAAAUGUGCAUCCUAUGGAGAAAGCGUGGCCAAAACAAAAGUAAUAUUCAAAUCUUUCACUAAAAAGGAAUAUAAAACCAUGGCCCAGCUUAAACAUGGUUCUGCAGCUUCUGAAUAUCAGGUUAACCAGCUCAAACAGAUGUCAAGGCUUUCCCUGCUGUCAUAUGAGUAAGAAGCUUUAUGCCUUUUCUAAGCAUAAAUUGAUUUGGCAUUCAUCUCAAAACCUUCUUAACUGAGUCCUGCAGUAAAUGGACUAAACCCAUUAUAGUAUUGCUUCAGAAUUCAUUCAUGCAAUCAUUUAUUCAGCAACUAUGUACAAAGCACAUCAUCCACAAAAUACCUGGAUGUCACAAAGUUUCAGAUCCACACCUAAAUCUACAUCAUUAAUUUCCUUCUUACCGAAGACUUUGUCAAGUGAAAUAACUGGGGAAUAAGCACAAUACAGAUAAAGCUUAAACACAAUGUGACAUGAGAUAGACUGGAGGACUCGAGCUGCAUUAUGUAACCUGGGAGUGUGCAAACAAUCCUCUAACACAGUGAGCGAGUGCCAAAAGUACAAGGCUGUAUCUUGAAUAUGGCAUGAGGCGGUAAACUUGGGAUUGAAAAAAACUGUUAUAAAAGGGCCACGUCCAUUAUUCAUUCCCCACAAGGUUAGGCGUCCAUCUGUUGUUGCCUAGGGGAAGGCUGUUUCUUUCCCUAUGGUGCUUCAUAGGCAUGUAGAGAUACCAGUGUUGACCUAACAUUAUAUACUAGUCCCUCACAGCAGGAUAACAUAAACGAAGUCUAUGACCCUUAUAUACAUAGUGUUACAAAAUAUCCCAUUUUAAUGCCAAUUAGUAGGCUAGAAAACAAAGUAAAAGAAACCCUCUGUAAUUUACAAUGAGCUUUGCUUUCUCCAAAGCCCUUUGAAAGUGACAAUGUGGCAGAUUUACCAUCAGUGGUCAGGCAUUGUUUCUGGCAAAGAGAGCAAGUAGAGGUCUGGGUCUAUUGCAGCUUAGGCUAAGGAAACCAAGAAAACUUUUUAUGUUGCUUCCAAAAAUGUCCAUAGAGUAGCUAUUUGCAUCCCAAGCACUGAUGAGAGAAAGAUGAUUUAUUUUGGACUGUUAUACUGAAAUCAUCUCAUAUGGACUUACAUUUUUUCCCCCUUGUGUCCAAAAUGGUUUUAUUUAUGCUUUUCUCUGUGAUUUUAGAAAUCCUGACUUGGAAAUAGUUUUUUACUCACCAGAAAUGACUGCAAGGUGGCAGCCAAAUUAGGCUUGAGCCUAAUCUCUUUGUGGGGGACAGCCAAUUGCUCUACUAGUUGACCAGAUUCUUUCUCCUCACUGUGA
rnacentral:lncRNA from 1 species